rnacentral:rRNA from 1 species
UCAAGUGACUAAGUGCAUGUGGCGGAUGCCUUGGCGAUCACAGGCGAAGAAAGACGCGGCAGCCUGCGAAAAGCUGCGGGGAGCUGGCAAACGAGCUUUGAUCCGCAGAUAUCUGAAUGGGGGAACCCACACCGCAAGGUGUAUCCGUGACUGAAUACAUAGGUUACGGAGGCGAACGAGGAGAACUGAAACAUCUAAGUAUCCUCAGGAAAAGAAAUCAACCGAGAUUCCGGCAGUAGCGGCGAGCGAACCCGGAGGAGCCUAGCUUUUGAUAGUACGAACUUUAGCCGAAAGGUCCUGGAAAGGCCUGCUAUAGUGGGUGAUAGCCCCGUAGGCGAAAGAGUUCGUAUGGUACUAAGGAAGCGAGAAGUAGAGCGGGACACGUGGAAUCCUGUUCGAAGAUGGGGGGACCAUCCUCCAAGGCUAAAUACUCGUGAUCGACCGAUAGUGAACCAGUACCGUGAGGGAAAGGCGAAAAGAACCCCGGGAGGGGAGUGAAAUAGAACCUGAAACCGCAUGCAUACAAACAGUAGGAGCCUCACCAGAGGUGACUGCGUACCUUUUGCAUAAUGGGUCAGCGACUUACAUUCUGUGGCGAGCUUAACCGAAUAGGGGAGGCGCAGCGAAAGCGAGUUCGAAAUGAGCGUCCAGUCGCAGGGUGUAGACCCGAAACCAGAUGAGCUAUCCAUGGCCAGGUUGAAGGUGUGGUAACACACACUGGAGGACCGAACCGACUAGUGUUGCAAAAUUAGCGGAUGAGCUGUGGAUAGGGGUGAAAGGCCAAACAAAUCUGGAGAUAGCUGGUUCUCCCCGAAAACUAUUGAGGUAGUGCCUCGUGUGUCGCUCCAGGGGGUAGAGCACUGUUUUGGCUAGGGGGACAUGGAGUCUUACCAAACCAAGGCAAACUCCGAAUACCUGGAAGCGUAAGCACGGGAGACAGAGCACCGGGUGCUAACGUCCGGACUCAAAAGGGAAACAACCCAGACCGCCGGCUAAGGUCCCCAAUAACAGCUAAGUGGAAAACGAAGUGGAAAGGCCGUGACAACCAGGAAGUUGGCUUAGAAGCAGCCAUCCUUCAAAGAAAGCGUAAUAGCUCACUGGUCGAGUCCUUCUGCGCGGAAGAUGUAACGGGGCUAAGCUGUUAACCGAAGCCGCGGAUGCACUGAUUAUUCAGUGCGUGGUAGGGGAGCGUUCUGUAAGUCUGCGAAGGCGGUUCGAGAGGACUGCUGGAGAUAUCAGAAGUGCGAAUGCUGACAUGAGUAACGUUAAAGCAGGUGAAAAGCCUGCUCGCCGUAAGCCCAAGGAUUCCUGCUCUACGUUCAUCGGAGCAGGGUGAGUCGGCUCCUAAGGUCAGGCCGAAAGGCGUAGCCGAUGGGAAUCAGGUUAAUAUUCCUGAACCUGCGUCAGAUGCGAUGGGGGGACGGAGCAUGAAAGAUCAUCCGGGUGUUGGAUGUCCCGGUUGUUGAGCGUAGGAGGUCUGCAGGCAAAUCCGCAGACGCAUCUCCAAGGCAAAGACACGUGCCGCCACGGCGGCGAAGUGAUCGGAAGUGCUUCCAAGAAAAGCCUCUAAGCACCAGUCUGACGCGGACCGUACCGCAAACCGACACUGGUGGGCGAGCUGAAUAUGCUCAGGCGCUUGAGAGAACUCGGGAGAAGGAACUCGGCAAAUUGACACCGUAACUUCGGAAGAAGGUGUGCCGUAGUACCGUGAGAGGAGAGACACCUUGAGCGGGAAUCGGUCUCAGAGAAUAGGUGGCUGCGACUGUUUAUUAAAAACACAGCACUCUGCAAAGUCGAAAGACGACGUAUAGGGUGUGAUGCCUGCCCGGUGCUGGAAGAUUAAUUGAUGGGGUGAGAGCCCUUGAUCGAAGUCCCAGUAAACGGCGGCCGUAACUAUAACGGUCCUAAGGUAGCGAAAUUCCUUGUCGGGU